rnacentral:rRNA from 1 species
CCUACGGGUGGCUGCAGUGGGGAAUAUUGGGCAAUGGGCGAAAGCCUGACCCAGCAACGCCGCGUGAAGGAAGAAGGCUUUCGGGUUGUAAACUUCUUUUGACAGGGAAGAGCAGAAGACGGUACCUGUCGAAUAAGCCACGGCUAACUACGUGCCAGCAGCCGCGGUAAUACGUAGGUGGCAAGCGUUGUCCGGAUUUACUGGGUGUAAAGGGCGUGUAGCCGGGCUGACAAGUCAGAUGUGAAAUCCGGGGGCUCAACCCCCGGACUGCUCUGGAAACUAUGUGACUGGAGUGCAGGAGAGGUGAGCGGAAUUCCUAGUGUAGCGGUGAAAUGCGUAGAUAUUAGGAGGAACACCAGUGGCGAAGGCGGCUCACUGGACUGUAACUGACGUUGAGGCUCGAAAGCGUGGGGAGCAAACAGGAUUAGAUACCCGGGUAGUC